UACGUAGGGUGCGAGCGUUAAUCGGAAUUACUGGGCGUAAAGGGUGCGCAGGCGGUUAUAUAAGACAGAUGUGAAAUCCCCGGGCUCAACCUGGGAACUGCGUUUGUGACUGUAUGACUAGAGUACGGUAGAGAGGGGUGGAAUUCCUGGUGUAGCAGUGAAAUGCGUAGAUAUCAGGAGGAACAUCGAUGGCGAAGGCAGCCCCUUGGACCUGUACUGACGCUCU
rnacentral:rRNA from 1 species